rnacentral:rRNA from 1 species
UCUGAGGGAGCUUGCUCCCAAAGAUUAGCGGCGGACGGGUGAGUAACACGUGGGCAACCUGCCUGUAAGACUGGGAUAACUUCGGGAAACCGGAGCUAAUACCGGAUAAUCCCUUUCCUCACAUGAGGAAAGGCUGAAAGAUGGUUUCGGCUAUCACUUACAGAUGGGCCCGCGGCGCAUUAGCUAGUUGGUGAGGUAACGGCUCACCAAGGCCACGAUGCGUAGCCGACCUGAGAGGGUGAUCGGCCACACUGGGACUGAGACACGGCCCAGACUCCUACGGGAGGCAGCAGUAGGGAAUCUUCCGCAAUGGACGAAAGUCUGACGGAGCAACGCCGCGUGAGUGAUGAAGGUUUUCGGAUCGUAAAAUUUUGUUGUUAGGGAAGAACAAGUAUCGGAGUAACUGCCGGUACCUUGACGGUACCUAACCCGAAAAGCCACGGCUAAUUACGUGCCAGCAGCCGCGGUAAUACGUAGGUUGGCAAGCUUUUUCCGGAAUUAUUGGGCGUAAAGCGGGGGCAGGUGGUUCCUUAAGUUUGAUGUGAAAGCCCCCGGUUCAACCGUGGAGGGUCAUUGGAAACUGGGGAACUUGAGUGCAGAAGAGGAAAGUGGAAUUCCAAGUGUAGCGGUGAAAUGGGUAGAGAUUUGGAGGAACACCAGUGGCGAAGGCGACUUUCUGGUCUGUAACUGACACUGAGGCGCGAAAGCGUGGGGAGCGAACAGGAUUAGAUACCCUGGUAGUCCACGCCGUAAACGAUGAGUGCUAAGUGUUAGAGGGUUUCCGCCCUUUAGUGCUGCAGCAAACGCAUUAAGCACUCCGCCUGGGGAGUACGACCGCAAGGUUGAAACUCAAAGGAAUUGACGGGGGCCCGCACAAGCGGUGGAGCAUGUGGUUUAAUUCGAAGCAACGCGAAGAACCUUACCAGGUCUUGACAUCCUCUGACAAUCCUAGAGAUAGGACUUUCCCCUUCGGGGGACAGAGUGACAGGUGGUGCAUGGUUGUCGUCAGCUCGUGUCGUGAGAUGUUGGGUUAAGUCCCGCAACGAGCGCAACCCUUGAUCUUAGUUGCCAGCAUUCAGUUGGGCACUCUAAGGUGACUGCCGGUGACAAACCGGAGGAAGGUGGGGAUGACGUCAAAUCAUCAUGCCCCUUAUGACCUGGGCUACACACGUGCUACAAUGGAUGGUACAAAGGGCUGCAAGACCGCGAGGUUUAGCCAAUCCCAUAAAACCAUUCUCAGUUCGGAUUGCAGGCUGCAACUCGCCUGCAUGAAGCCGGAAUCGCUAGUAAUCGCGGAUCAGCAUGCCGCGGUGAAUACGUUCCCGGGCCUUGUACACACCGCCCGUCACACCACGAGAGUUUGUAACACCCGAAGUCGGUGGGGUAACCUUUUGGAGCCAGCCGCCUAAGGUGGGACAGAUGA